rnacentral:tRNA from 1 species
AUUUAAAUAGUUUAUAUAAAAUAUUAGUUUGUGGUACUAAAGAUGCAAAAUUUUGCUUUAAAUU